rnacentral:rRNA from 1 species
UCGGGUUGUAAAGCACUUUUGUCCGGAAAGAAAACUUUUGCCCUAAUACGGUGAGAGGAUGACGGUACCGGAAGAAUAAGCACCGGCAACUACGUGCCAGCAGCCGCGGUAAUACGUAGGGUGCGAGCGUUAAUCGGAAUUACUGGGCGUAAAGCGUGCGCAGGCGGUUCGUUAAGACAGAUGUGAAAUCCCCGGGCUUAACCUGGGAACUGCAUUUGUGACUGGCGAGCUAGAGUAUGGCAGAGGGGGGUAGAAUUCCACGUGUAGCAGUGAAAUGCGUAGAGAUGUGGAGGAAUACCGAUGGCGAAGGCAGCCCCCUGGGCCAAUACUGACGCUCAUGCACGAAAGCGUGGGGAGCAAACAGGAUUAGAUACCCUGGUAGUCCACGCCCUAAACGAUGUCAACUAGUUGUUGGGUAUUCAUUGACUUAGUAACGUAGCUAACGCGUGAAGUUGACCGCCUGGGGAGUACGGUCGCAAGAUUAAAACUCAAAGGAAUUGACGGGGACCCGCACAAGCGGUGGAUGAUGUGGAUUAAUUCGAUGCAACGCGAAAAACCUUACCUACCCUUGACAUGGUCGGAACCCUGCUG